rnacentral:rRNA from 1 species
UACAGAGGUCCCAAGCGUUGUUCGGAUUCACUGGGCGUAAAGGGUGCGUAGGUGGUCGGGUAAGUCUGAUGUGAAAGCUCUGGGCUCAACCCAGAAAUGGCAUUGGAUACUAUCUGGCUAGAGGAAUGGAGGGGGGACUGGAAUACUUGGUGUAGCAGUGAAAUGCGUAGAUAUCAAGUGGAACACCAGUGGCGAAGGCGAGUCCCUGGACAGUUCCUGACGCUCAGGCACGAAAGCGUGGGGAGCAAACAGG